ACAAGCAGCAUUUUUUUAUUUAUUUAUUGUGAGCUACUUCUUCAGCAUUCGUUUGAAGUGCAGUUGUCUCCUAAAUGGAUGAUGUAUCCAUGGACGGGUUGGUCUGAACAACCGCUGAAGAUCCAUACAUAGAGUCAAGGUCAAAGUACUCAUCACCAUCCUUCUAAAUCUCUCUCUCUCUCUCUCUCUCUCUGCAGACUCCAUACCUAACAUCUCUUUCUGGGCCUGCUCUCCAAUCCAGCCAUGUCUCUAACGACUUUGAUGUUCCGAUCACUGGUCAGGCUAGCGACCUCGCUCAUCGGUGAGCCCGCCGCCUCCGUGACCACCAUCUUGUACUACAGCGACCUGCUGCCCCAGAGCGUCGUCCUGGAGCGGCUGGUCCGGCGCGAGCUGCUCGACCGUGAGAACUACUUGUUCCAUUUCCUCAUUAGUUUCCUGAGGUGUUUCUGGUGAUGCGAAGGAGCUUUGGGUUUACGCGUGUUCUUU